UACGUAGGGAGCAAGCGUUGUUCGGAAUCACUGGGCGUAAAGGGCGUGUAGGCGGCUGGAUAAGUGGGAUGUUAAAUCCCCCGGCUCAACCGGGGACCUGCAUCUCAUACUGUUCAGCUCGAGCACAUCAGAGGAGACUGGAAUUCCCGGUGUAGCGGUGAAAUGCGUAGAUAUCUGGAGGAAUACCGGUGGCGAAGGCGACUACCUGGCCUGUUCUUGACGCUGAGGCGCGAAAGCUAGGGGAGCAAACGGG
rnacentral:rRNA from 1 species